CCGAAUUCGUCGACAACAGAGUUUGAUCCUGGCUCAGGACGAACGCUGGCGGCGUGCCUAAUACAUGCAAGUCGAGCGGAACCGGGGGAGCUUGCUCCCUUGGUUUAGCGGCGGACGGGUGAGUAACACGUGGGCAACCUGCCCUGCAGAUCGGGAUAACUCCGGGAAACCGGUGCUAAUACCGAAUAGUUUGCGGCCUCUCAUGAGGCUGCACGGAAAGACGGUUUCGGCUGUCACUGCAGGAUGGGCCCGCGGCGCAUUAGCUAGUUGGUGGGGUAACGGCCCACCAAGGCGACGAUGCGUAGCCGACCUGAAAGGGUGAUCGGCCACACUGGGACUGAGACACGGCCCAGACUCCUACGGGAGGCAGCAGUAGGGAAUCUUCCGCAAUGGACGAAAGUCUGACGGAGCAACGCCGCGUGAGUGAAGAAGGUUUUCGGAUCGUAAAACUCUGUUGUGAGGGAAGAACAAGUACCAGCUAACUACUGGUACCUUGACGGUACCUCACCAGAAAGCCACGGCUAACUACGUGCCAGCAGCCGCGGUAAUACGUAGGUGGCAAGCGUUGUCCGGAAUUAUUGGGCGUAAAGCGCGCGCAGGCGGUCCUUUAAGUCUGAUGUGAAAGCCCACGGCUCAACCGUGGAGGGUCAUUGGAAACUGGGGGACUUGAGUGCAGAAGAGGAAAGUGGAAUUCCACGUGUAGCGGUGAAAUGCGUAGAGAUGUGGAGGAACACCAGUGGCGAAGGCGA
rnacentral:rRNA from 1 species